rnacentral:rRNA from 1 species
UACGAAGGGGGCUAGCGUUGCUCGGAAUCACUGGGCGUAAAGGGUGCGUAGGCGGGUUUUUAAGUCAGGGGUGAAAUCCUGGAGCUCAACUCCAGAACUGCCUUUGAUACUGAAGAUCUUGAGUCCGGGAGAGGUGAGUGGAAACUGCGAGUGUAGAGGUGAAAUUCGUAGAUAUUCGCAAGAACACCAGUGGCGAAGGCGGCUCACUGGCCCGGUACUGACGCUGAGGCACGAAAGCGUGGGGAGCAAACAGG